CUCUCAAACUUCUCAAUCCUCACUCCUCAGACUCUCAAAUCGUUCAACCUCCACUCUCUAUUCGACGCCACUGCCGUUCUCUCUCUACGCACGCCGGACGAGCGCCCAAUCUCUAUCUUUCUCUCAGCCCUCACUUCGUCACAACCGAUCUUCUCUGUGUACACACCUUGGGUUCCUUGUUCUUUCUUCCAACUCGAAUUAAUAUCAGAUCGAACUUUUGGAGAAAAGAAACAAAUUAUCAUUUGUAAUGGACAAUGGUGUUUGGUAAAUGUUUUAUUGAUGAAGUUAGGUUGUUGCUUGAUUCAUCAUGGGCCUGAAGAUGAUCGAAAGCCCCCCAAUACGAGGCCCUGGUCUGCAAUCUUGAAUGUACUCGUGGAUAUGCAAAUAUGCAAAUAACGCGAAAAUUCUUCCUUCCGCAGGGCGGAGGUUCACCGUCUGAUGUGGCAGAAUAACAACCAUAUAUUUCAGUGUGGAACCAUAUUUUGACUAACUCAUUAUCCUUCCGUUAACGUUUAUUCCGUAAGAAAGAGGGAGAGGUAGAAAGAAAGAAAGGGGUAAAAUGCUCUAAGAAAUGGUAAAUUCAUUCUCAAAUUUCUGCACCCCACGGGGUGCGAGUGUUAAUCUCAUCGGCAGUCCGCUAGUCUUAUUUGAAUCAAGGAGUUGCACUGGAUGAACUCAGGCUUAGCUUCGAUAAUGAGGGAAAGGAAUAUAGAAAAUGAGGAUAGCAACUGAAGUUUGGAAGUUCUGGGUUUGAGUGGUGGUUGAUUGCAUCUGUUUUGUAGCUUGAUGUUCCACAAUCCACAUCUAUUAGUUCACAAUUGAAGCAGGACUAAGAUGGAUGAGAUUUGUUUGAUUGAACAUAUUGAAGAGAAGAGGUGGUCGUCGGCGGCAGGCUGGCGGAUGAGUUUUAGGUUAAAGUAUAAAGAAAGGUGUGAUUGGAUCAAUCGAUAUUAGUUUUUAUUGUUUAGAAAUAAAUAUCUAAUUCGAUAAAAAAAUCAAAUUUCGGAAUAAAUUUCUUGGAAAUUUUAGCUCGUGCCACGUGACAUUUUGGACAGAUGUAAACCCCUGAUUUGCCCAUCUGUUUUUUUUUGAAUAAUUUAUCAAAUUCUGAAAGCUUUCAAAUAUCUUAAUAAAUAACUCGGUGAUUGAAAAAAAAAAUCUUGAAAAAAUCUUGAAAAUUAAUACGUUUUUCACAAUAAUGCACUCUAUCAACCUAUAUGAAAAAAAAAUAUUGAUAUUUACCGUUACAUGACAAGGGUUACUCUUAAGGUGAUAAAAAUAUACACAAAGUUGACUAAAUGGAUUGAGAUUCAAAAAUUAUGGAAAAUAAGAUAAUUUUCUACCGCACUAAUAUUUCUAUAUAGUCAUAAUAUCCUACUGUCUAUAUCUCCAUAUUUCAUAUCUUUAGUAUAGUUGGUUUAACAUAUAAAUACUUGCAUCUAAUAUUCUAUGAAAUAAGUUAGUCAUACCGGCCACUUUACGUGUCACGGUUUAAAGUGAUAAAAAGAUACACUUAAGCGAAUCUUUUUCAUAUACUUGCAUCUAAUCUACUAAACAAUUGUUUAAUAUUUUUGUCGUCACAUGAUACGGUUGCCCUUAAAAUGAUAAAAAUAUACACAAGGUUGACUAAGUAGCUUGAAA